rnacentral:rRNA from 1 species
ACUGCUCAGUAACACGUGGACAACCUACCCUCAGCACGGGGAUAAACCCGGGAAACUGGGUAUAAUACCCGAUAGUUCUGGGAAGCUGGAAUGCUCCCAUGACGAAAGCUCCGGCGACUGAGGAUGGGUCUGCGGCCUAUCAGGUAGUAGUGGGUGUAAUGUACCUACUAGCCUACGACGGGUACGGGUCGUGAGAGCGAGAGCCCGGAGAUGGAUUCUGAGACACGAAUCCAGGCCCUACGGGGUGCAGCAGGCGCGAAAACUUUACAAUGCUGGCAACAGCGAUAAGGGGACCUCGAGUGCCAGGAUACAAUCUUGGCUGUCGCGAUGCCUAAAAAGCAUUGCAUAGCAAGGGCCGGGCAAGACCGGUGCCAGCCGCCGCGGUAACACCGGCGGCUCGAGUGGUAACCGCUAUUAUUGGGUCUAAAGGGUCUGUAGCCGGCCGGAUAAGUCUCUUGAGAAAUCCAGCAGCUCAACUGUUGGGCUUUCAGGAGAUACUGUUCGGCUCGAGACCGGGAGAGGUGAGAGGUACUUCAGGGGUAGGGGUGAAAUCUUGUAAUCCUUGAAGGACCACCAGUGGCGAAGGCGUCUCACCAGAACGGAUCUGACGGCAAGGGACGAAAGCUAGGGGCACGAACCGGAUUAGAUACCCGGGUAGUCCCAGCUGUAAACGAUGCAGACUAGGUGUUUGGACGGCCACGUGCCGUUCUAGUGCCGCAGGGAAGCUGUUAAGUCUGCCGCCUGGGGAGUACGAUCGCAAGAUUGAAACUUAAAGGAAUUGGCGGGGGAG